rnacentral:lncRNA from 13 species
GGCUGCGGGCGGAGCGGGGGCUGCGGGCUCCGAGAGGGUCCCGCAGGCCAGAGGGAAAUGCUGUUUGUUUUUUCUGACACCUCUGCCCAGAGCCAUUACCUCUGCCAGACUUUCUAGAGAGUCCUGGGGCAGCAGGAACUUUCUUUGCUCCUUCACCACAAGGAAACCCUUUUUAGGGGCAGCCAGUCAGGAGGAGGGCGUGAAGCCGCAGCUCUCAGAGGAGGCCAGCACUAUCCCACCUAGUCUCCGAGCCUGGAGCCUCAUAGUGUCCCUGCGUCCAUUCAUCCUCACUCCCACCACUUCACCAAGCAUCUGGACUCUGGGGAAACGCCCAAAGAGGCACAAACAUCCCUACGGUUCCCUCUGAGAGGGAAUUGAUAGAAGUGGAGGAGGAACACAAAGGUGCCAGUGCCUCAUCCCAGAUGGCUGGACACACUCUCUUCUCUUUGCAACUUUCAGCCAUGAGCUUGUGACAUAUCAUAGGAGAAGCAUCAAUGGCAGCUUCCUGUUGCCCCAGCGGACGGUCUCACACCUGCUUCCGCUGGCCCCCACCCUCCGGUCUGAUUCUGGAGAAGAAAGAACAGGUGGUGGUACUCUUUCCAGACUGCUGAGCCAGGAACAAGCUUCAGCAUCUGGGCACGUGGUCACAGGGCACAGGCUGUGUCAGACCUGCCGGGGCCCAGUAGCCCAGGAACUGCAGCCUUCCUCUGAGGUGAAGAGCCUAACCAGACACAUGACACACUGAGCAGUGGCCCGAGGUGAAAGCCCUCUGCAAAACAGAACUUGCUUUCCGUACCAACUGGUCAAAAGGAAGGAGUAAAGUAUUAUAUAGUAUAUUGGAAUUAAAUGAGAACUUUUUGCAAAAUACCUGGAUAUCCAUGUGUAUGUGGAAUAUAUGAUGAAUACAUAGUUCUAAACACUGUGUGUGUGUCAGGCCCUCACACAAGGAUAUGAUUUGCUCCUGGGUGUUGCAUCAUUAAUUCUGUUCCACAGAGAAGGAAACUGAGAUUCAGAGUAGAGCAUGGCUCAGCCAAGGCCCCACAGCUGGUCAUCGGGGGGCGCCUGACCCUCUGUUUGGGUCAUAGAGACUGCCUGUCCCCACUUGACUCAUCCCCGUCAGCAAAGUGUGUAAAAUCCUUUGGGAACAGCAGCUCUG